rnacentral:rRNA from 1 species
UACGUAGGGUGCAAGCGUUGUCCGGAAUUAUUGGGCGUAAAGAGCGUGUAGGCGGCCUGAAAGGUCAGCUGUGAAAACUCGAGGCUCAACCUCGAGACGUCGGUUGAAACCAUCUGGCUAGAGUCCGGAAGAGGAGUGUGGAAUUCCCGGUGUAGCGGUGAAAUGCGCAGAUAUCGGGAAGAACACCCGUGGCGAAGGCGGCACUCUGGGACGGUACUGACGCUGAGACGCGAAAGCGUGGGGAGCGAACAGG